rnacentral:rRNA from 1 species
AGAGUUUGAUCCUGGCUCAGAACGAACGCUGGCGGCAGGCCUAACACAUGCAAGUCGAACGAUCCUUCGGGAUAGUGGCAGACGGGUGAGUAACGCGUGGGAAACUACCUUUCGGUACGGAAUAGCCUCGGGAAACUGGGAUUAAUACCGUAUACGUCCUUCGGGAGAAAGAUUUAUCGCCGAUUGAGGUGCCCGCGUUGGAUUAGCUUGUUGGUGAGGUAAUGGCUCACCAAGGCGACGAUCCAUAGCUGGUCUGAGAGGAUGAUCAGCCACACUGGGACUUAGACACGGCCCAGACUCCUACGGGAGGCAGCAGUGGGGAAUAUUGGACAAUGGGCGAAAGCCUGAUCCAGCCAUGCCGCGUGAGUGAUGACGGCCUUAGGGUUGUAAGGCUCUUUCAGUGGGGAAGAUAAUGACGGUACCCACAGAAGAAGCCCCGGCUAACUCCGUGCCAGCAGCCGCGGUAAUACGGAGGGGGCUAGCGUUGCUCGGAAUUACUGGGCGUAAAGCGCGCGUAGGCGGAUCUUUAAGUCAGGGGUGAAAGCCCCGGGCUUAACCUGGGAACUGCGCUUGAUACUGCGAGGCUAGAGUUCGGGAGAGGAGAGUGGAAUUCCCAGUGUAGAGGUGAAAUUCGUAGAUAUUGGGAAGAACACCAGUGGCGAAGGCGGCUCUCUGGACCGAUACUGACGCUAAGGCGCGAAAGCGUGGGGAGCAAACAGGAUUAGAUACCCUGAUAGUCCACGCCGUAAACGAUGUGUGCUAGACGUUGGGGGUUAUGCCUUCAGUGUCGCAGCUAACGCAUUAAGCACACCGCCUGGGGAGUACGGCCGCAAGGUUAAAACUUAAAGGAAUUGACGG